rnacentral:rRNA from 1 species
GGUGAAAAGCCCGCUCGCCGGAAGACCAAGGGUUCCUGUCCAACGUUAAUCGGGGCAGGGUGAGUCGACCCCUAAGGCGAGGCCGAAAGGCGUAGUCGAUGGGAAACAGGUUAAUAUUCCUGUACUUGGUGUUACUGCGAAGGGGGGACGGAGAAGGCUAUGUUGGCCGGGCGACGGUUGUCCCGGUUUAAGCGUGUAGGCUGGUUUUCCAGGUAAAUCCGGAAAAUCAAGGCUGAGGCGUGAUGACGAGGCACUACGGUGCUGAAGCAACAAAUGCCCUGCUUCCAGGAAAAGCCUCUAAGCAUCAGGUAACAUCAAAUCGUACCCCAAACCGACACAGGUGGUCAGGUAGAGAAUACCAAGGCGCUUGAGAGAACUCGGGUGAAGGAACUAGGCAAAAUGGUGCCGUAACUUCGGGAGAAGGCACGCUGAUAUGUAGGUGAAGUCCCUCGCGGAUGGAGCUGAAAUCAGUCGAAGAUACCAGCUGGCUGCAACUGUUUAUUAAAAACACAGCACUGUGCAAACACGAAAGUGGACGUAUACGGUGUGACGCCUGCCCGGUGCCGGAAGGUUAAUUGAUGGGGUUAGCGCAAGCGAAGCUCUUGAUCGAAGCCCCGGUAAACGGCGGCCGUAACUAUAACGGUCCUAAGGUAGCGAAAUUCCUUGUCGGGUAAGUUCCGACCUGCACGAAUGGCGUAAUGAUGGCCAGGCUGUCUCCACCCGAGACUCAGUGAAAUUGAACUCGCUGUGAAGAUGCAGUGUACCCGCGGCAAGACGGAAAGACCCCGUGAACCUUUACUAUAGCUUGACACUGAACAUUGAGCCUUGAUGUGUAGGAUAGGUGGGAGGCUUUGAAGUGUGGACGCCAGUCUGCAUGGAGCCGACCUUGAAAUACCACCCUUUAAUGUUUGAUGUUCUAACGUUGGCCCGUUAUCCGGGUUGCGGACAGUGUCUGGUGGGUAGUUUGACUGGGGCGGUCUCCUCCUAAAGAGUAACGGAGGAGCACGAAGGUUGGCUAAUCCUGGUCGGACAUCAGGAGGUUAGUGCAAUGGCAUAAGCCAGCUUGACUGCGAGCGUGACGGCGCGAGCAGGUGCGAAAGCAGGUCAUAGUGAUCCGGUGGUUCUGAAUGGAAGGGCCAUCGCUCAACGGAUAAAAGGUACUCCGGGGAUAACAGGCUGAUACCGCCCAAGAGUUCAUAUCGACGGCGGUGUUUGGCACCUCGAUGUCGGCUCAUCACAUCCUGGGGCUGAAGUAGGUCCCAAGGGUAUGGCUGUUCGCCAUUUAAAGUGGUACGCGAGCUGGGUUUAGAACGUCGUGAGACAGUUCGGUCCCUAUCUGCCGUGGGCGCUGGAGAACUGAGGGGGGCUGCUCCUAGUACGAGAGGACCGGAGUGGACGCAUCACUGGUGUUCGGGUUGUCAUGCCAAUGGCACUGCCCGGUAGCUAAAUGCGGAAGAGAUAAGUGCUGAAAGCAUCUAAGCACGAAACUUGCCCCGAGAUGAGUUCUCCCUGACUCCUUGAGAGUCCUGAAGGAACGUUGAAGACGACGACGUUGAUAGGCCGGGUGUGUAAGCGCAGCGAUGCGUUGAGCUAACCGGUACUAAUGAACCGUGAGGCUUAACCUU